UGGCUCAAAUAGUAAAGAAUCUGCCUGCAAUGCAGAAGACCCAGGUUCAAUCCCUGG
rnacentral:tRNA from 1 species